rnacentral:rRNA from 1 species
UACGAAGGGGGCUAGCGUUGCUCGGAAUCACUGGGCGUAAAGGGUGCGUAGGCGGGCCUUUAAGUCAGGGGUGAAAUCCUGGAGCUCAACUCCAGAACUGCCUUUGAUACUGAGGAUCUUGAGUUCGGGAGAGGUGAGUGGAACUGCGAGUGUAGAGGUGGAAUUCGUAGAUAUUAGGAAGAACACCAGUGGCGAAGGCGGCUCACUGGUCCGGUACUGACGCUGAGGUGCGAAAGCGUGGGGAGCAAACAGGG